rnacentral:rRNA from 1 species
AAAAACAUGUCUUUAGGAUUUUAUCUUAAGUUUAAUCUGCUCACUGAUUUUUUAAAGAGCCGCAGUAUUUUGACUGUGCAAAGGUAGCAUAAUCAAUAGUUUUUUAAUUGAAAACUUGAAUGAAUGAUUGGACGAUAAAUUGACUUUCUUAAUUUUAAAAAUUGAAUUUAAAAUUUAAGUUAAAAUACUUAAGUUUUAUUAAAAGACGAGAAGACCCUUUAGAUUUUUAUUAUUUAUUAAUUAAUAAUUUAUUUAAUUAUAAAAAUAAUUUAAUUGGGGUGGUAAUGUAAAAUAAAUAACUUAAUUUUCAAAAACCAUUUAUUAUUGAAUAUUUUGAUCUAAAAUUUUUAAUUAAAAGAUUAAAUUACCUAAGGGAUAACAGCGUUAUAUUAUUUAAGAGUUCAUAUCUAUAAUAAUGAUUGCGACCUCGAUGUUGAAUUAAGAAAUAUGCUGGGGUAGAAAUUAGCAAAAAUCAGUCUGUUCGACUGUUAAAUUCUUACAUGAUCUGAG